UGCAUGUCAGCCGAAGUGUGUUUUAAAAAUUGGGACUUGUUUGUAAAUAAUUUGUUUUAUUAUGGAAGACUGAUUAAAUUUAACAAACUUGCGUGAAAUUCUUACAGUGACAGUUGUUCAUAUGACAAAAACUGUAAUAGAGCCAGCAAAGUAUUUGUUAAAAGUAUUGUUUUUAUUAUUUAUUGACGUCACAGUCGGAUUUUACUGUUAGGUUAAUAACUAAUAUUAAAAUCGUAGAUAAAUACCAUUUUACCAAACUCAAGGGUUACUGGUGAUAAUUUAUUAAUAUUACCAAUCGUAAGAGGGAAAAACAAAAAGCUAAUCGCUAAACAUCUGAUUAUUAAGACUUGGAAGUUAGAGUUUUUAUUGGUGCUUAUAAAGUUUAAUAUUCGAAUAAACUAAACUUGCAUUACAACUACAAGUUACGUACAAAUUGCACACAACUUUACAGUUAUAAAGAGGUUAACUGACUUAUAAUUUAUAUAACUUGUAAGUUAUACUUUGAGUUUUUUAUUUUGCUCGACUCUAAGUCUUAAGGUCGACCUUGAACUUAGUGUAAGCUUAUCAGUAUCAUGGAUGAUGCAUUUCGAAGUGGUCUUGCUGUACACAUUGCAGAAUAUAUAAAAGAUCGCCUAUACUUUGCUACUUUGAGAACUACGGUAAAACCGAAGUCCACAUCUUCAGUUCACUACUUUUGUAUAGAUGAUGAACUUUGGUAUGAGAGUUUCUAUGCAGACUUUGGGCCCUUAAAUUUGGCUUUGCUCUAUCGGUAUUGUUGCAAGUUGAACAAAAAGUUAAAAG